CGGAAGGAUCAUUACCGAGUUUUCGAGCUCCGGCUCGACUCUCCCACCCUUUGUGAACGUACCUCUGUUGCUUUGGCGGCUCCGGCCGCCAAAGGACCUUCAAACUCCAGUCAGUAAACGCAGACGUCUGAUAAACAAGUUAAUAAACUAAAACUUUCAACAACGGAUCUCUUGGUUCUGGCAUCGAUGAAGAACGCAGCGAAAUGCGAUAAGUAAUGUGAAUUGCAGAAUUCAGUGAAUCAUCGAAUCUUUGAACGCACAUUGCGCCCCUUGGUAUUCCGGGGGGCAUGCCUGUUCGAGCGUCAUUACAACCCUCAAGCUCUGCUUGGAAUUGGGCACCGUCCUCACUGCGGACGCGCCUCAAAGACCUCGGCGGUGGCUGUUCAGCCCUCAAGCGUAGUAGAAUACACCUCGCUUUGGAGCGGUUGGCGUCGCCCGCCGGACGAACCUUCUGAACUUUUCUCAAGGUUGACCUCGGAUCAGGUAGGGAUACCCGCUGAACUUAAGCAUAUCAAGGCGGGGAGGAAGAUCAUUACCGAGUUUUCGAGCUCCGGCUCGACUCUCCACCUUUGUGAACGUACCUCUGUUGCUUUGGCGGCUCGGCGCAA
rnacentral:rRNA from 1 species